CAGCUAGCUUAUUCACCAACAUAACCAAACAAUAUAAAUAAAACAGAAUAAACCAAAUACCAAAAACUAAACCAUUCUUUUACCUGAGUAUGGGAGACAGAAAAGGUUCAACCAAAGCAAUAGAAAUAGUACCGCAAGGGAAAGCUGAAAGAGAAAUGAAAUAACCCAUAUAAGUAUUAAAAAGCAAAGAUUAAACCUUGUACCUUUUGCAUCAUGAUUUAGCCAGUAAACACAAGCAAAGAGACCUUUAGUUUGAAACCCCGAAACCAGGUGAGCUACCCCGAGACAGCCUAUUAAGGGCCAACCCGUCUCUGUGGCAAAAGAGUGGGAAGAGCUCCGGGUAGAAGUGACAGACCUACCGAACCUGGUGAUAGCUGGUUGCCUAAGAAAUGAAUAGAAGUUCAGCCUCGUACACCUCAAAUCAAACAAGCACUAACCAAGAUAUUAAGAGAAAAAUACGAGAGUUAGUUGAAGGGGGUACAGCCCCUUUAACAAAGAAUACAACCUUAUCCAGGAGGAUAAAGAUCAUAAUAUAUAAAAUACACUGUUCUAGUGGGCCUAAGAGCAGCCACCUAAACAGAAAGCGUUAAAGCUCAGACAGAAAGAAGUUUAUUAUUCUGAUAAAAAAUCUUACUCCCCUAAAUACUAUUAGGCUAAUCCAUGCCCCCAUGGAAGAAAUUAUGCUAAAAUGAGUAACAAGAAGGCUCGCCCUUCUCCCAGCACAAGUGUAAGCCAAACCGGACCAACCAUUGGCAAUUAACGAACUCAACCCAAGAGAGCAAUGUGAACCAUAAAAAAAACAAGAAAAACCCACACUUAACAAUCGUUAUCCCCACACUGGAGUGCUAUUAAAGGAAAGACUAAAAGAAAAGGAAGGAACUCGGCAAACACAAGCCUCGCCUGUUUACCAAAAACAUCGCCUCCUGCAACACAACCAUGUAUAGGAGGUCCAGCCUGCCCAGUGACUACAAGUUCAACGGCCGCGGUAUUUUGACCGUGCAAAGGUAGCGCAAUCACUUGUCUUUUAAAUAGAGACCUGUAUGAAUGGCUAAACGAGGGCUUAACUGUCUCCCCUUUCAAGUCAGUGAAAUUGAUCUGCCCGUGCAGAAGCG
rnacentral:rRNA from 1 species